rnacentral:rRNA from 1 species
UGGGGAAUCUUGCACAAUGGGGGAAACCCUGAUGCAGCGACGCCGCGUGAACGAUGAAGCCCUUCGGGGUGUAAAGUUCUUUCGACAGGAACGAUAAUGAAGGUACCUGGAGAAGAAGCUGCGGCUAACUACGUGCCAGCAGCAGCGGUAAUACGUAGGCAGCGAGCGUUGUUCGGAGUUACUGGGCGUAAAGAGUGCGUAGGCGGCGAGCCAAGUUUGGUGUGAAAUCUCCCGGCUUAACCGGGAGGGUGCGCCGAAAACUGGUUGGCUGGAGUAUGGGAGAGGAAAGCGGAAUUCCUGGUGUAGCGGUGAAAUGCGUAGAUAUCAGGAGGAACACCUGCGGUGUAGACAGCUUUCUGGACCAAAACUGACGCUGAGGCACGAAAGCGUGGGUAGCAAACA